UACGUCCCUUGCGUUAUUCCAGAUAUGGCUGCUAUGUCACAUGUGUAUGAGUUGGUGGCAGAGAUGAGAGAAACUUUGAUUAUGGUCAGUGUCCUGACCUAUGAACAUCUGAAUGAUUAGUAGCCUGACAUU